AUCGAACGCUGGCGGCAGGCCUAACACAUGCAAGUCGAGCGAGCGGCGGACGGUUGAGUAAUGUAUGGGGAUCUGCCCGUAAGCGGGGGAUAACUACUGGAAACGGUAGCGAAUACCGCAUACUAUGGGAUGAACCCAUAUGGGAUUAGCUAGUUGGUGGGGUAAUGGCUCACCAAGGCAACGAUCCGUAGCCGGUCUGAGAGGCCGACCAGCCACACUGGGACUGAGACACGGCCCAGACUCCUACGGGAGGCAGCAGUGGGGAAGUGUCGACAAUGGGGGAAACCCUGAUCCAGCAAUGCCGCGUGAAUGAUGAAGGCCUUCGGGUUGUAAAAUUCUGUUGGCAGAGAAGCGGUAUCUGCAGAAUAAGCAACGGCUAACUACGUGCCAGCAGCCGCGGUAAUAC
rnacentral:rRNA from 1 species